GUUUCUGUAGUUGAAUUACAACGAUGAUUUUUCAUGUCAUUGGUCACAGUUGAAUGCUGUGCGGAAACA
rnacentral:tRNA from 1 species